CGGGUGGUUGAUCCCUGGCCCUGUGUUUACAUGUCUGUUUGUCAGCAUUCAUCAUACAUUUUAGGUAGAAUGCAUACAUGCAUAAUCAUAGCAUUUGGAUACUCAUGAUGCAGCUGUUGUCGUGUAUCUGUUGAUGGUUGUCUCCUGCUAUUUGGUGAUACAGAUCUCUCCAGUAGAUCCUCCUAGCAGAGUUGGGUGUGUCUGAUCUCUCCAUGUAGAGCCAACCCCUUAAGCAGAAAGUGUCUAUCCUUU
rnacentral:lncRNA from 1 species